UUCACAUCAUAAAACAUAAUUAUUUUGUACAAUGACAAACAACGCGUACAAGUCUCGCGAGAGUUUUAUAAAUCUAUGGUUACCAUAUAGACGCGACUGUGAACGCCUGAUUUCCUUACAAAAUAAAUGCAUUCACGUUCUGAUGAGACGCAAGUGAGGAAGUGGAUGAAUGGAUGAAUCACCUUCUGUAACCUCGCAUCACAUGUCAUUCUGGGCAACAUCUGCUUAACAGGUGAUCUAUCUCAUCAUUGCCUCGACCAGUCAGAUGGCUCGGACCAGCACCAGCUCCGCCAGCUCUGAAGGCUCCGGGGAUGCUUCAUGGUCGUUUCCCUUCACACACAGGGAUGUAGAUUCCCUGCUCACGUCCGGAAUAUCCAAUGGGAAUGUUGGGGAAAAGAGGGAGUAAAAAUCUAUUUGUCACUCAU